GAAUUCGCCCUUCGCCCGCCGCGCGCGGGCGGGGCGGGGGCACGGGGGGCCUACGGGAGGCAGCAGUGGGGAAUAUUGGGCAAUGGGCGAAAGCCUGACCCAGCGACGCCGUGUGGGCGAUGAAGGCCUUCGGGUUGUAAAGUACUUUCAGCGGGGAGGAAGGGAGUAAAGUUAAUACCUUUGCUCAUUGACGUUACCCGCAGAAGAAGCACCGGCUAACUCCGUGCCAGCAGCCGCGGUAAUACAAGGGCGAAUUC
rnacentral:rRNA from 1 species